rnacentral:rRNA from 1 species
CAAUAGCGUAUAUUUAAGUUGCUGCAGUUAAAAAGCUCGUAGUUGGAUUUCUGGUGGGAAUGGCCGGUCCGCCGUUUCGGUGUGCACUUGCUACGCCCACCUUGCUGCCGGGGACGUGCUCUUGAGUUCACGCUCGGGACACGGAGUCGGCGAGGUUACUUUGAGUAAAUUAGAGUGUUCAAAGCAGGCCUACGCUCUGAAUACAUUAGCAUGGAAUAACACGAUAGGACUCUGGCCUAUCUUGUUGGUCUGUAGGACCGGAGUAAUGAUUAAGAGGGACAGUCGGGGGCAUUCGUAUUUCAUUGUCAGAGGUGAAAUUCUUGGAUUUAUGAAAGACGAACUACUGCGAAAGCAUUUGCCAAGGAUGUUUUCAUUAA